rnacentral:rRNA from 1 species
UACGGGGGGGGCAAGCGUUGUUCGGAAUUACUGGGCGUAAAGGGUUUGUAGGUGGCUUGCUAAGUCAGACGUGAAAUCCCUCAGCUUAACUGAGGAACUGCGUCUGAGACUGGCAAGCUUGAGUGCAGGAGAGGAACGCGGAAUUCCAGGUGUAGCGGUGAAAUGCGUAGAUAUCUGGAGGAACACCGGUGGCGAAGGCGGCAUCCUGGACCGACACUGACGCUGAGGAGCGAAAGCCAGGGGAGCAAACGGG